GUAGGUAAGUAAUGCUUACAGGGAAACAUUGAGCAUACAGUCAUAUUUGAGUACAAGUUAAAAGUUUCCAAAUCAUUUUUCAAUUACUUAUCAUCAAAUUUUUCAUAGAUUAAUUUUUGUUUUAUUUAUUUACCUGAUUUAAAUUUUUUUGAUUACCUAUAUUACCAGAUGUUCUUGAUAUCAUUUGGAUCCAACUUUUGUGAAGAUGAAGUUGAUAUUUGCAACUAGUCUGGUUUUCAUCAAAUUAUAUUUUAAUAAUUGUAAAAGUACAUUUACAGCAGCCGGCGAAAAACUCAUUGAGAAACCAUAUUAUGAUUCAAAGGAAUUAUUAUCAAACUCAGAACAGGAAAUCGUAAAUGCUUUACCAGACGAUAAAAAGACGAAAGCAAAAAAUUGGUUCAUCAAAAAUGCGGAGGAGAAGCGGGAGCUUCAGAAAAAGAUUGGUUAUCAUUCCGUUCAAUGCGCCAGCCAGGUUGCAAACGGAAUUCUGGAAUACUUCUUCAAAUCACCACCAUAUGCUGAGGGCGCCUUCAGAGGGAUUUUCUUUGUCCCAUUAUUUGAGGAAGAUAAAUGCAGUCAUAAGACCCUGCCUGCCCCGUACGACAAAAAAUUUGACGAAUUAGACGGGCAGGUAGGGAAAGGCGGCCGUUUUACCCGUAGAGGUGUUACCAAGGUUUUUCGCCAGUGGUACCGCGCACUUUCCAGAAAUAUUUUUCCGGUUUUAGAAUGCAUCAAUGAGAAACUUCAUAACUACCAUAAGAAUAAUCCCGAUUUAUGUGACAGGGAUUUUUCUACAUUACUUCUCAAUUUUUCUGCCUCAGUCGCUGUAUCACACGGGGUAUUUAAUUAUAUGCAAUACGAAUUUUUGAGGCUAAUUAAAAAUUCGAAUUAUGUAUCUGAUGGAUCAGAUAAUGAAUUCGUAAACUACUUACUCAAUUGCUGGCAGCAUUAUAAUUUAAGCGUUCAAGAUAUAACUUUCCUUAAUAUUUUAUUAAGUUGCCGAUCUUCCAGAAAAUCCACAUUAUAAGCAGUUAAAAUAUGUGGAAGUCAAACAUUUCAAACAUAAUGAUGAUCUUGUGGCAAUACCACUAUUAGACAAAUGCAUGACACAGCUAUUUCCUUCUACUUCAUUUGAUGACACUUACAUCGGCAGAACCACGUCAAAAUCUGAUCAAUAAUAAAAUUGUCAUUAUUAUCUUCUAUCUUCUUCUAUUAUUACCUAUAAAGAAAAAAGGAUUUUUGUCGAGCGGAAUUUUUAAAAUAAUUUUUUGCCCAUUCCUCUCAUAGGAUCUGCACCCUCCAAUUCAGACAUUUCAAAUUGAAAAAAUUCAGUCAAUUUGAACAAAAAAAAUUGAAAAUUUCAAAAAAUAAAAAAGUUGAAAUAAGUAAAUUACAACUCUUCAAUUUAAAAAAUUUCAAAUUGGAAAAAUUUAAGAAAUCCCAAAAAAAAGUUUCAAAGUUGAAAAUAUAUUCCAACACUGAAAAUACAUAUUAUUUUUCUAAAUCCAAACAUACUAAGAAGUUGAGAAAAUUUAAAAAACAAAGUGAACGAGUUGAAAGUUGUAUAUGUAUCAUAAGCUCGAAAAGGUCUAUGAUCAAUCGAUGCAAUUUUUUAAAUAGUUCUUUUGCCUACAUCUUUCAUAGGAUCUGUAUAAUUAGAAAAUUCCAAGUUAAAAAAUUCAUUAAUUUUUUUCAAAAAGUUAAAAACUAAAAAAAUUUAAAACCCUGAAUUUUUUUUAAAAUGCACUAAAAGUGGCAUUGAAGGCUAAAAAAGCUCAGUAGUCGAAUGAUCGGAGGUUGAAAGUUUGAAUCAUGUGAAGUAAAACAUUAUUUUCUGUUAUCUGUUAUAUUUAUUGAAAGUUGAAAUAAAGCGGAGCUUCUUAUUUGAAGGUUCAGAAAGUUAUAAUGAAUUAUUCUAAUUUUAAAUUCAAAUUCUGCAAACUGAAAAAUUAAUAUUUUUUGCUGAUUU